rnacentral:rRNA from 1 species
AUGAAGGGCGUAUGGUGGAUGCCUUGACUCAAGUGAGCGAUGAAGGACGUAGCGAUCUGCGAUAAGCCUCGGGGAGCUGAUGAGCAAGCUUUGAUCCGGGGAUUUCCGAAUGCGGCAACGCAUCUCGAUUCAUAUCGGGAUAUUACUGUCUGAAUUCAUAGGACAGUGAAGCGUACCCAGGGAACUGAAACAUCUUAGUACCUGGAGGAAAAUAAAUCCAAAAGAUUCCGUCAGUAGUGGCGAGCGAAAGCGGAGAAGCCUAAACCGUUUCACUUCGGUGAAGCGGGGUUGCGAGAUAAUAACGUCCUAUCUUGUAAAACGUUGAAUAUAGUUGUCAGCGUUUUACUCGACGGGAGUGAAGUUACAAAUUGUUUUGUUAGCUGAACAAUUCUGGAAAGUGAGACCAAAGAGGGUAAUAGUCCCGUAAGCGAAAACGANNNNNNNNNCCGGGGCCACUAUAGCUCCAAGGCUAAAUAUCACUUGAGAUCGAUAGCGAACUAGUACCGUGAGGGAAAGGUGAAAAGAACCCCGAUGAGGGGAGUGAAAUAGAACUGAAACCAUAUGCUUACGUAGAGUUGGAGCCCCGACGCAAGUCGGGGUGACAGCGUGCUUUUUGCAGAACGAGCCAACGAGUUAAUUUUAUGCGGCAAGUUUAACCCAGCAUUGAAUUUAUAAAGUAAAAAACUUUAAGGAGGUUCCACAGUGGGAGACAAAAAGGAAAUGAAAUUAUGGUUAAUCAUCCUUAGUUGUCCCUUUUUAUGGUAUAUGGCAAUAGCUUUAAUAUUGUCAUAUUUCUAAAGAUAGAGGAUCUCUACGGCGUGGCGUGCGGAAAUACUUCGUGCGCCCGCCGCAACUUUAUAAGUUUGAUGCUGGGGAAAACGUAGUGAAAGCGAGGCUUAAUCGCCGAAAAUAAGUCGCAUGGAUUAGACCCGAAGCCGGGCGAGCUACAUAUGAGCAGGGUGAACGCAGAGUAACAUCUGCGGGAGGCCCGAACCCACGCGCCGUACAACACGCGGGGAUGACUUGUGUGUAGAGGAGAAAUUCCAAUCGAGCUCGGCCAUAGCUGGUUCUUCCCGAAAUAGCUUGAGGGCUAGCGUCGGAUAAAUGAUCACAGGAGGUAGAGCUACUGAAUGAGGGAUCGUGGAGCAAUCCUAGGUCUCUCAACCAAACUCCGAAUGCCUGAUGAUUUUAUCCCGACAGUCAGAACGUGGGGGCUAAGCUUCACGUUCGAGAGGGAAACAGCCCAGAUCGCAGUCUAAGGUCCCUAAAUCUAUGUUAAGUG